rnacentral:lncRNA from 1 species
AAUGAUUUCUAGGAUUAAUAUGGUUACCUCAAGCAAACUACAGAUGAGCAUAUCUGUACUACACUACCUUAUGUGAGAAAGAAGGUGACAUAAGAAAUUAUAUAUCUAGGAGUUCCCAUUGUAAGUGGGUGAAAACAAAUCUGAAUAGUUUCCAUGAGGAUGCAGGUUCGAUCCCUGGUCUCACUCAGUGGGUCAGGGAUCCCACGUUGCCGUGGCUGUAGUGUAGGCCGGCAGCUGUAGCUCUGACUUGACCCCUAGCCUGGGAACUUCCAUAUGCUGUGGAUGCAGCCCUCAAAAGCAAAAAAAAAAAAAAGAAGAAAGAAAGAAAUUAUACAUAUAUCUGUAAAUGAAACAUAGAAAGGAUGAACCAGAAACCACAGAGUGAACGGGAGCAACAGGGUAGAAAGAUUGAGGGAUGGGAGUAGGAUUAAAGGAACGGAGGAGAUAUGUGACAUUACUGAGUAUUCUUUUUUGUAUGGUUCUCAUUUUUGGAACUGUGUCAAUGUUUCACGUGUUUGUUUUUUUUUUUUUUAAAUCUACAAGUUAGAGGAAAAAAAAAACCAAAAGUGGACUAGAAUGGAAGCAAAUGAACUCAACUGAUUUCAAAUGAAUUAUGUAAUUAUAUAUGGGUCAGAGCAGGGGCAAACUAACGUAAACAACUUUUGAGCACAGUAUUUGUACUGUAUGACCUUCAAAAAUAUUGAACUUCAGUUUAUAGGCCUUCCUUUUUUGUGCAGAGCUAUAUGAGUUACCAAAUCCAAAACCACUUUCUAUGUAUACCAGAAUUGAGCAAAUGGUAAAUAAAUAUUUUAUUGGUAAUGGAAACCAGAUUCCUUAUUAUUGACGGAGGUGUUUUAAAUAUGCAAAGGGAGAAGGCUAGAAGGAAGGAAUCUUAAAAUUUCUGUCCAUCUAUAGAAAUAAUUAUAAAUGAGACAAAGGUGUGUGUGUGAGAGAGAGAAAGAGAGAGAAGGUAUGUGUAUGAAUAUGUAUAUAUACAUUAACCUAUUUUUAUACUCUUUACCAAUCCCUUGUGUGGAUCUGCUUCGUAAAUGACUUUUAUUCAGUAAUUUGAUAAUUGAUUAAACUUGAUAGGUAGGAUAUUACAAAAAAAAUCAUUUAGAUGCUCUUUUUGUUUUUGUAGUUUGGCCAUUUAUAGAAUGUAUUUUGUUAAAUACAGUUUCUAAAACAUUAGACCGCUAGCUGUUUAAUUGUGAAUAGUAGGGACCUUUUUGAAGUGUAUUUAGUUUAAUUUUAUAAAUACCCCUCCAGGUUUUUCUUUAAGAAAAAUGUUUGCAGUAUUGAUAAAAUAUUAGUAAAGUAGCCACAGUAAUAAACAUUUCUAGCAUGUGCAAAUGGAAAACAGUAUGUCUUUAGCAAUCUCAUGAUUAAUAGAAUAAAUUCAUUUUGAUAUUUGGUUUUAUAUACCAGCAUCUACCUCAUGGCAUGAUCUAAGAACAGUCAGCCUAGGCUAAUAUUAAAGUAUUAGAAAUCACGGGGACUUUAUCUAUAGUUGGCAAGAUGUAGUCUAAAUAAGAAUUACAACUGUAUUGGAAUAAUUGGAUUUGCUACUGAACCCUACAUUUAAAAUAUAUAAUUAUCAUGCGUGUUAUUAUAAUCAUACUCUUAAACUUUGUAUAUAAUCGUACUUACUAUACUUUGAGGAAAAAUUAUGUGUGAAUCAUGGGUAUUUUAAUGAUUGUUAAUAAAUUAUGUAAUAUCUGAAAUUUCUUUUGGUGAUUUCAAAUUAUUAGACUCAUUCUAAAAAAAAAUUGAAUUACCUAAUAAAGUCUGCCUGGUUCUUUAACCUGUGUAAAUGUUAAAAAAAAAUAUUCUGUUAACUCCAGAGUAGUUUUUUAUUUAUUGAUAUUUAAUAUGAGGUACUUUUGAGCAUUUAUGGUGGACAACUGACACAUUGCCAAUUACCAAUAACACUUAAUAAAAGUUUAGAAAUAAGUUUUUAAAAACUGGCUUUCUUUGUAUCUAAAUUGAGCCUCUACAUAUUAUUUCUCACUAAAAGUAAUCAGAGGUGCUUGGAAAAAAUGGCUGGUUUAGUAUUUGAAUCAGGGAAUGUACAAGAUAAGCUUAGAACAUCUUGUUAUACCAGGUAAUAAGGAAGCUUCAAAGACUGUUGGAGUCUUAUCAGAAGGACUCAGGGUCUAACUAGAAGAGCUUCCAAUGGGCUGAAAAUGGGACAGGACACUUUGAGCUUUAAUAAUACUUACAGUGGAUUGAGAUACAACAAAUAUGUUUAAAUACAGGAGUUCAUGACUUAAAAAAAGUGACUGGUCAUACUGGUGGAGGAUACUAAUGAACCAGUCAUUAUUUUGUUACUAUUAGUUUAUUUUCAAUUUAUUUUAUUGGAGUAUAGUUGAUUUACAAUUGUUAGUUUCUGGUGUAUAGCAGAAUGAUUUGGUUACAUGCAUAUAUAUACAUAUAUAUAUAUACACACACACACAUAUAUACAUGUACAUUUGUGUGUAUAUAUAUUUACAAAUACAUAUAUUCUUUUUCAUAUUCUUUUCUAUUAUGGUUUAUUACAUGAUAUUGAAUACAGUUCCCUGUACCAUUUGGUAAUGAUUUUUAUUUUUUGGUUUUUACAUGCAUUUUGAUUCUGCCUUUUUUGCUUUUUUUAUUUUUAUUUUUUGUAAUUAUUAUUUUUUAAUAGUUAUUUCCCCAAUACAAUUUGUUUUUUCUACUGUACAGCAUGAGGUGACCCAGUUAUACAUACAUGUAUACAUCCUUUUUUCUCACAUUAUCAUGCUCCAUCAUAAGUGCCUAGACAUAGUUCCCAGGGCUACACAGUAGGAUGUCAUUGCUAAUCCAUUCCAAAGGCAAUAGUUUGUAUCUAUUAAUCCCAAGCUCCCCAUCCAUCCCACUCCCUCCCCUUGGCAACCACAAGUCUAUUCUCCAAGUCCAUGAUUUUCUUUUCUGUGGAAAGGUUCAUUUGUGCCGUAUGUUAGAUUCCAGAUAUAAGUGAUAUCAUCUGGUAUUUGUCUUACUCUGUCUUACUUCACUCAGGAUGAGAGUCUCUAGUUCCAUCCAUAUUACUGCAAAUGGCAUUAUUUUGUCCUUUUUUAUGGCUGAGUCCUAUUCCAUUGUGUCUAUAUACCACAUCUUCCUAAUCCAGUUAUCUGUCAAUGGACAUUUGGGUUGUCUCCAUGUCUUGGCUGUUGUGAAUAGCCCUGCAAUGCACAUGCGGGUGCAUGUGUCUUUUUUAAGGAAUGUUUUGCCCAGAUAUAUUCCCAAGAGUGGGAUUGCUGGGUCGUAUGGUACUUCUAUGUACAGUUUUCUAAGGUACCUCCAUACUGUUCUCCAUAGGGGUUGUACCAGCUUAUAUUCCUGCCAACAGUGCAGGAGGAUUCCCUUUCCUCCACACCCCCUCCAGCAUUUGUUAUUGUGGACUUAUGAAUGAUGGCCAUUCUGACUGGUGUGAGGUGGUAUCUCCUGGUAGUUUUGAUUUGCAUUUCUCUAAUAAUCAGGGAUGUUAAGCAUUUUUUCAUGUGUUUGUUGGCCAUCUGUAUAUCUUCCUUGGAGAAAUGUCUGUUCAGUUCUUUAACCCACUUUUCAAUUGGGUUGUUGGCUUUUUUACUGUUGAGUUGUGUAAGUUGCUUGUAUAUUCUAGAGAUUGAGCCCUUGUCAGUUGCAUCACUUGAAAUGAUUUUCUCCCAUUCAGUGACUUGUCUUUUUGUUUUCUUUUUGGUUUCCUUUGCUGUGAAAAAGCUUGUCAGUGUGAUUAGGUCCCAUUGGUUUAUUUCUGCUCUUAUUUCUGUUGCUUUGGGAGACUGACCUGAGAAAAUAUUCAUAAGGUUGAUAUCCAAGAAUGUUUGCCUAUGUUCUCUUCUAGGAGUUUGAUGGUGUCUUGUCUUAUAUUUAAGUCUUUCAGCCAUUUUGAGUUUAUUUUCGUGCAUGGUGUGAGGGUGUGUUCUAGUUUCAUUGCUUUGCAUGCAGCUGUCCAGGUUUCCCAGCAAUACUUGCUGAAAAGACUGUCUUUUUCCCAUUUUGUGUUCUUGCCUCCUUUGUCAAAGAUUAAUUGACCAUAGGUGUCAGGGUUUAUUUUUGGGUUCUCUCUUCUGUUCCAUUGGUCUAUAUGUCUGCUUUGGUACCAGUACCACACUGCCAUGAUAACUGUGGCUUUGUAAUAUUGCCUGAAGUCUGGAAGAGUUAUGCCUCCAGCUUGGUUUUUGUUCCUCAGAAUUGCUUUGGCAAUUCUAGGCCUUUUGUGGUUCCGUAUAAAUGUUUGGAUUGUUUGUUUUAGUUCUGUGAAAAAUGUCAUGGGUGAUUUGAUAGGGAUUGCAUUGAAUCUGUAGAUUGCUUUGGGAAAAAAACUGAUUACAUGGAGACUAAAGAACAUGCUACUAAAAAAACCAAUGGGUCAAUGAGGAAAUCAAGAAGGAAAUUAAAAAAUACCUCGAGACAAAUGAUAAUGACACAUCCACUCAAAAUCUAUGAGAUGCUGCAAAAGCAGUGCUCAGAGGGAAGUUCAUGGCAACACAGGCCUUCCUCAAAAAAGAAGAAAAAUCUCAAAUCGACAACUUAACCCAACACUGGACUGAAUUAGAAAAAGAACAAAAAAACCCCCUAAAGUCAGCAACAGGAAAGAAACCAUGAAGAUCAAAGAGGAAAUCAAUAAAAUAGAGAUUCAAAAAACAAUAGACAAAAUCAAUCAGACCAAGAAAUGGUUCUUUAAAAAGGUAAACAAAAUUGACAAAUUUCUGGCUAGACUCACCAAAAAGAGGAGAGAAAAAGCCCAGAUAAACAAAAUCAGAAAUGAAAAAGGAGAAGUCACAACAGAUACUACAGAAAUACACAAAAUCAUGAGAGAAUACUAUGAAUAAUUGUAUGCCAUCAAAUUUGGCAACCUAGAAGAAAUGGACAACUUUCCAGAGACUUAUAGCCUGCCAAAACUGAAUCAAGAAGAAAUACAUCAACUGAACAGACUGAUCACUAGAAAUGAAAUUGAAUAUGUCAUAAAAACACUCCCUGUAAAUAAUAGUCCAGGACUAGAUGGCUUCACAGGUGAAUUCUGUCAAACAUACGAAGAGGAACUUAUACCCAUCCUCCUUAAACUUUUUAGAAGAUUACAGAAGAAGGAACACUCCCAAGGACAUUCUGUGACGCCACCAUCAUCCUAAUUCCAAAACCAGACAAAGAUACCACCACAAAAGAAAACUAUAGGACAAUAUCUCUGAUGAAUAUAGACACAAAAAUUCUCAAUAAAAUUUUAGCCAUCUAAAUCCAACAACUUGUAAAAAAGAUCAUACACCACGACCAAGUGGGAUUUAUCCCAGGUUCACAAGAAUGGUUCAACAUAAGCAAAUCAAUCAGCAUCAUACACCACAUUAACAAAAGAAAAGUCAAAAACCACAUGAUCAUCUCAGUAGAUGCAGAAAAAGCAUUUGACAAUAUCUAACAUCCAUUCAUGAUAAAAACUCUUAACAAAGUGGGCAUAGAAGGGACAUACCUUAACAUAAUCAAAGCCAUUUAUGACAAACCCACAGCAAAUAUAAUACUCAAUGGAGAAAAGCUGAAAACCUUCCCACUAAAAUCUGAGAUAAGACAAGGAUGCCCACUCUUACCACUGUUAUUCAACAUAGUAUUGGAUGUCUUAGCCACAGCAAUCAGACAAACAAAAGAAAUAAAAGGCAUCCAAAUAGGAAGAGAAGAGGUAAAACUGUCACUGUAUACAGAUGACAUGAUACUAUACAUAGAAAACCCUAAGGACUCAAUCCAAAAACCACUUGAACUGAUCAGCAAAUUCAGCAAAGUAGCAGGAUAUAAAAUUAACAUUCAGAAAUCAGUCACAUUUCUGUAGAUUAACAAUGAAAUAUUAAAUCCUAUCGUGGCGCAGUGGUUAACAAAUCCGACUAGGAAACAUUAGGUUGCAGGUUCGGUCCCUGCCCUUGCUCAGGGCGUUAACGAUCUGGCGUUGCCUUGAGCUAUGGUGUAGGUUGCAGACGCGGCUCGGAUCCUGUGUUGCUGUGUCUCUGGCAUAGGCUGGCAGCUACAGCUCCAAUUAGUCCCCUAGCCUGGGAACCUCCAUAUGCCGCACGAGCUGCCCAAGAAAUGGC